rnacentral:rRNA from 1 species
CAGUAGCCACGGUAAAACGAAGGGGGCUAGCGUUGCUCGGAAUGACUGGGCGUAAAGGGCGCGUAGGCGGUUUGUACAGUCAGAUGUGAAAUUCCUGGGCUCAACCUGGGGGCUGCGUUUGAUACUUGAUUGCUAGAGUGGGGAAGAGGGUCGUGGAAUUCCCAGUGUAGAGGUGAAAUUCGUAGAUAUUGGGAAGAACACCGGUGGCGAAGGCGGCGACCUGGUCCUUGACUGACGCUGAGGCGCGAAAGCGUGGGGAGCAAACAGGAUUAGAUACCCGCCGUAGUCCCUGUCUCUUAUU